rnacentral:rRNA from 1 species
AACCUCCGCAAUGUGAGAAAUCGCGACGGGGGGAUCCCAAGUGCCAUUCUUAACGGGAUGGCUUUUCAUUAGUGUAAAGAGUUUUUGGAAUAAGAGCUGGGCAAGACCGGUGCCAGCCGCCGCGGUAACACCGGCAGCUCUAGUGGUAACAAUUUUUAUUGGGCCUAAAGCGUCCGUAGCCGGUUUAAUAAGUCUCUGGUGAAAGCUUGUAGCUUAACUAUAAGAAUUGCUGGAGAUACUAUUGGACUUGAAGUCGGGAGAGGUUAGAGGUACUACCGGGGUAGGGGUGAAAUCCUAUAAUCCUGGGAGGACCACCUGUGGCGAAGGCGUCUAACUGGAACGAUCUUGACGGUGAGUAACGAAAGCCAGGGGCGCGAACCGGAUUAGAUACCCGGGUAGUCCUGGCCGUAAACGAUGUGGACUUGGUGUUGGAAUGGCUUUGAGUUGUUCCGGUGCCGAAGGGAGCUGUUAAGUCCACCGCCUGGGAAGUACGGUCGCAAGAUUGAAACUUAAAGGAAUU